UAACAAUUUUAUAGUCUACUAUAAAGCCGGUUACAGACGAGCAAGUUUUCUAUGACAAGUUUUUAUGUGACAAGUUCUAUUUGCCAAGUACACGUGUGUAUAUGCAACAAAUUUUAUAUGACAAGUUUUCAUAUGACAAGUUUAUUUACUGGUGUGAACGUGUCAGAAAAAGGUGUUUAUCGCCGCCAUGACAGAAAAAUUAUAAUAGUCCGAUGGCCAAUCACAUCAAAUGCUCAGAUUACUUUGACAAGUUUUCUUUGUUGACCCAUACAGACGAACAAAAUUUGUACUUUGACAAUUUUUUCCAUGACAAGUGCACUUGUUCAAAAGCUAUAGCAUGCUAGCUUUUGAACAAGACAGUGCACUUGUCAUAGAAAAACUUGUCAAAGUUGCGCGUACAGACGAGCAAAUAAAACUUGUCACAUAAAAACUUGUCAUAGAAAACUUGCUCGUCUGUAACCGGCUUAAGAAUUACAAAUAUUCUUGACCGAUGUUGUGUCCAAUUAAUGUUCCUGUAUGGGUUUUGCAGUCAUAUAGCGGCCUCGACUUCGUAUAGCCAUGGCAUGCAUAUAGGCACAGCAGUAUAUGGUUUCAGGGGGGGGGG